UCACCCACCCACCGCAAGCUACCCCUAAAAAAAACCACCGCACAGCACUCCUCUCUCUCCCCCGCGCAACGAACCCUAGAGCUCCCGAUCCAGAUCCCUCCCCUCCCCUCCCAUCGCCGCCGGCCUCGACCCCCUCCCCCUGCCCUCUCCCCGCCGCCUCCUCCUUCCUCCAGUACCACCUCUCCAACCUCGCAGAGCUUUGCUGCCCCGCGCCCCGCGCUCGCCCAGGCACACCACUCCUCUCGCUCCUCCGCUCCGAUUCGAUUCGAUCUCGGCUUUCUCUCCAAGCCACAGGACGCGACACCAGCUCCAGAGCUUUGACAGCUGCGGCCGCCUCCGCCGCCCCCGCCGCCCCGACCGCCGCCGCGCCGAAGCCCGCCGUUAAGCUGCGCAAGCCCGUCUUCACCACCAUCGACAAGCUGAUGCCGUAGACGCACGGCCACAACCUCACCGUGCGCGUCCUCUCCGCCCGCGCCAUCCUCGACAAGCCCGCCGCCAUAUCGGAGACCCCACCGGAACCGUCCUCUUCGCCGCCCGCAAUGGCCAGAGUUUUGGAGGGCAGAACUUCCCUUAUCAACCAACUCGAGGGUUCCUCCCAGUUUUCUGCAGAAGAUCUGGGCCUAAUACUUGAAGCCCUCACUGCAUCUUGGGAUGAUUCCAGAUGUUCAGGUGUAUCAUACUGCCUGCUACACAAGUCAGUUUUGUAGGUUGUUCUGAAAUGCGCUGAGUUAGAUACAGCCGCAUGUCUGCCGCAAUUUCUUACUCUCGGUGCAAAGACAAUGCUGGAGUCAUUCUGAACCCAAAGGGAGAGAUGAAAGGGAAGGAGAUGGAGGGUGACGCACAACCAUGGAGAGGAGCAUCAGUAGCACAAAGUCCUUUCUCCUCCACGCCACCUCUGCCACUCUCUCGUUUUGAUUUGCUAUGUUGGGUUCCAAGAUUAGAAAUAUUUUUUGUUUCCAUCUUUAUCCAUGUGCUAUCAUUAACUCUGAGAAAAUGUUAUGUUUUUGCUGAUUAGUGGCAGUACAUCUUUGCUUUACUAUUCCUAGCAGCUGCAGUUCAUCUAACAUAAACAUGUUGUGUACAUUCUGAACCCGCAAACAUGACACAAGUGAUAUGUAUAUGCAGCAGGGAAUCGUCAACUUGUAAAGUUUGUUGACUGGAAUGUAACUUGUACAACUUUUUACUUGAAUAUGUUCAGUUAUGUAGUCGUGUAGUUGUUUAUUCUUAUCAGCUCUAAACUGCGGUACUUUACUGAAUUGUUGAUGAUGCUGAAUGAAUCUAGCUUGUUGGGUUCAGUCUCUUGUUCAGUAUCUUUUCUGAAUCUAGCUUUGUCUUGUAUAGCAGAAUCACCGCUCCCUAGAAUUAUCUGUCUGAAUGAACAAUGGGAUCCGUUCUGAGAUCAUUCUUGUUGUGUAGUUUCGUCAGGUCAAGCGGCCGCAUGACACUUAUUUGGAAUCAAUAAUAACAAAUCAGAAGCCCAAGUGUGAAGUCAUGAAGUGUGAAGCCGUGAAGCCAAGUGUGAAGCCGUGAAGUCCAACUCAUUGUAGCAUAUCUGUGUUGUAAAGAUUGUAAUAGAUUAAUUUAGUGGUAUAUUUGAUGAAUUUUGUGUGUUCUUUGUUCUAUUUUAAAUAUUGAUUAUGUAUGUGAUUUGAAAAUUGUGAAAUGGAAACAUGUCCA